UACGUAGGGUGCGAGCGUUGUCCGGAUUUAUUGGGCGUAAAGGGCUCGUAGGCGGCGUGUCGCGUCGGGGAGUGAAAGCCCGCUGCUUAACGGCGGGUUGGCUUCCGGUACGGGCAUCGCUGGAGUGCGGCAGGGGAGACUGGAAUUCCUGGUGUAGCGGUGGAAUGCGCAGAUAUCAGGAGGAACACCGGUGGCGAAGGCGGGUCUCUGGGCCGUUACUGACGCUGAGGAGCGAAAGCGUGGGGGAGCGAACAGG
rnacentral:rRNA from 1 species